GUGUUAGACAUAGAAAUCAAUAGUAAAACGAGUGAAUAAACAUUAGUCUGAUUAACGCUUAGAGUGUGAGUGACAGUCAAUAAUACAUUGAAUUUAUUAUCAAAUCAUUGAUUCAAUACAUUAUUAUACCUAUUAUUAUACGACUAUUCAUAUGUAUGACUGAAUAUUAUUGACAAAAAUAUGGCAACUCAUUAGGUCUGAGCCAUUGACAAAGUAAACCAAUCUAUCAUUGAAUCAAUCAUUUGGUCAAACAGUCAUCAACUAUUGCAGCACUGCUUGAGCAUCGAAAGAGCAGCCAAAGGACGACAAGAGUGAGAAACUGAGCAAAAACCGAUCGAUUGACUCUUUUUUUGGUACAAGUAUUGGUCUUUUGGUUUGGUAACAGUUGGAGCACUGGUAGUGACAUGAGUGGCAUUGUUAGCACAGUUUGCGACAGACUCGGGCACUGGUAUUUCGUGUAUGAGUUACGCACAUCACUCUACAUGUUAGAGCCCUGGGAGAAGACCACCUUCAAUACAGCACUAUUGGCUUUGAUAGCGAUGGCUAGUUAUACGACUUAUGCAUUUCUACCAACAUAUACACGAAGCGCUCUCUCCUAUUUUGGUCUCAUUUAACAACAAACAAAUCAUUUAUUUUUAUAUUAACUAAAUAAUAGUUUUUCUAUAAAUUAUAAAAAGAUGAAUACAGGAAUAAUAUAACAAAAAAUAUUAAUGCAUUAUGUGUUU